rnacentral:rRNA from 1 species
GAUGAACGCUAGCUACAGGCUUAACACAUGCAAGUCGAGGGGCAGCGCAGUGUAGCAAUACAUGGGCGGCGACCGGCGCACGGGUGCGUAACGCGUAUCCAACCUUCCCGAUACUCAGGGAUAGCCUUCCGAAAGGGAGAUUAAUACCUGAUGGUGUUUCAAUUCCGCAUGUUAAUGAAACUAAAGAUUUAUCGGUAUCGGAUGGGGAUGCGUGACAUUAGAUAGUAGGCGGGGUAACGGCCCACCUAGUCUACGAUGUCUAGGGGUUCUGAGAGGAAGGUCCCCCACACUGGAACUGAGACACGGUCCAGACUCCUACGGGAGGCAGCAGUGAGGAAUAUUGGUCAAUGGUCGGAAGACUGAACCAGCCAAGUAGCGUGAAGGAUGAAGGUUCUAUGGAUUGUAAACUUCUUUUAUAUAGGAAUAAAACCUCCCACGUGUGGGAGCUUGUAUGUACUAUAUGAAUAAGCAUCGGCUAAUCCGUGCCAGCAGCC